UAUUUGAGGUAUAUGAGGCUAUUCGCAGAUAUCUGGUCAGCCUGCCUGCGGUGCGGCUGAGGGGGUGUGUUGGAAGCCUGCUAAUAUGACCGAGGCUAAUCUCAAAACGGUCAGGACUUUCAGCCAAUAAGAGGCUGUAAAAUGUAUAUUAGCAUCUUGGCAAAUACCCACGAUAAAGGGGAAAGAACGAGUAAAAAAAAGGGCGACGUGGGGGCCCAACAUAGUCAACAACAAGGACACAUCGACUCACAUAUCAAUUUUGUAUGGUAACCUAUGUUACCCGUUUACUAGCAUAUACGUGGAUUCCAACAAUAAUUAGCGUAGAAGGUAGCUGACAA
rnacentral:lncRNA from 1 species